AAGUCAUCAUGGCCCUUACACCCAGGGCUACACACGUGCUACAAUGGCGCAUACAAAGUGUUGCGAACCGGUGACGGUAAGCCAAUCACAAAAAGUGCGUCUCAGUUCGGAUUGCAGGCUGCAACUCGCCUGCAUGAAGUUGGAAUCGCUAGUAAUCGUAUAUCAGCAAUGAUACGGUGAAUACGUUCCCGGACCUUGUACACACCGCCCGUCAAGCCAUGGGAGUCGGGAGGACCUGAAGGCAGUUGCUGCAAGGCGCUGUUUAGGGUUAA
rnacentral:rRNA from 1 species